rnacentral:lncRNA from 1 species
UUUUGAGCAAACAUCCAACUUAUAGCAGACUCAUUCUGGCUGCUGUGUUGAAAAUAAAAUGAGGCAGAGCUGGAGCCAAAGCAGGAAAAUCUGGGAGGAGGCUAUUUUAACCAUCCACGCGAGAGAUGAUGCUGGUCUGCUUGAGUUUCCUGGAGGUCCACUCCAGACCCUAUUUGCCUGGAUAUCACCAGCAGAGGCUGCAGAACAGCAAAGAUUGCUGCUUGCUCCUUCCUGUGGAAGCUUCAUCCCAGAGGGGCACCCACCUGAUGCCAGCCAGAGCUCUCCUGUAUGAGCCUUUCUUUCAGAGAUGCCCUGCUCAGUAAGGAGGAAUCUAGAGAGGCAGUCUGACAACAGCUGCUUUGCCACACUGUGAAACUUCUUUAAAUGAUACUUACAGACCUGCAAUUCCUUAUCUGCAGUUAUGAAAUCCAUAAACAAAAAGCUUGAAAACCAA